ensembl:lncRNA
AUUGGCAGCAUCACUUCACUAGCAGUGUUGCUCUCACUGAUAAGGGAGAUGCUGCUUCUCACACCCUUGUCCCUAACUGAUUUAACCACCUUGCAGCCAGACAUCAAAUGUGAAUGAUACCUGUCACAAGCACAGACUUUUUACUGGGACCACCAAUUAAGUCCGCAGAGAUAAGCAAACUGCAAAGAAGAUUUUUGCAGCUGUCACCAUGAGACCCAUUUCAGCUAACAAGGUUCUCACCAUAUUAAAAAUGCAUUCUGUGCAAAUUCCUUGAGACUUGCUUAUUCCAGGAUCUGACUCCUGUCACUGCUCAUCUGGAGAAGACCUAUUUGGGUGGAAAAAUAGGUCCUAACCCUGGUAUAUCCCUCAUUAUUUUAGGAGAGAGAAGGACUCAGAAGUACAUCACGUGGCUGUGCCACAUUUUUGUGAAUAUCAGAAUCACGGUCAACAUGAUCCUAAACUGGAGAAAGUUUUAAUAUUUGGGGUCAACAGGAGAAGCCCUACAGAAAAUAGUUCUCUCAAAAUCUUCAGUCAGGUCUGCAAUCAAUGCUGUUCUCAAAUUUUCUGCUCUUGGUUGUUGUUUUUUGUUGUUGUUAUUGCUUGUUGCUUUCUUUUGGUUGUUGUUUUGGUUUUGUUUUGAUAGAAGCUUUCAAGUUCUCUGCCCAGACUGAAUCUACAUCUUCCUCCUACAGUUUACAAUUUGCACAUUUAUGAUGUAGCUAUCAAUACAAUGGGAAAAAAAAAAAAAACAAAAACCUGAAGCAUGGUAACUGAUUAGACAGGAACCACAGUGUUUCAAGCAACAGUUUGUGUAAAUAUAGUCUCGAAAUAGCUGAGUGAAAACCCUACAUACCCCCAGCUCCCUCUUAGCAGAGUUUACCCCCGGUAGCAUUCACCAAGGUGCCUUGGACCUGGCCAGUAUCAACAGACAAUUUUCCCCCAAAAGACAGCAUAACAAAUCAUGCUCAGAACAUAAGAAGGAUUUGAACCUAUGAGCACUGACCUCUACAUACUGAGUGCAAGAAAUGAGUUUCUUAACUGAUGGCAGCUCUUCAGAGGCUCCAUAAAGAGCUAGUAUAUGGAGCCCAACACACCACACAAUCAUUACUAUUGGUCCUACAAAUCUCAGCAAUCGUGUGUCAGAUUUCAUGUACUAGUGUUUCUAUUGUUUGCCAGUAUUCAGAUCAUCAAUAUAGGAGUGAUGGCACUUUCACUGACUGGAUUAUACCCCAAAAAGCUUAUAUUUCAGGGCAUUAACAUUAAUAGACAUCUUGAUGACAAGGCUCAAGAAAUAGUGUUUAUAUUUGUCAUAGUAAAUGCCCCAACUGUGAGCCAGUACAAACAUUUUUAUAAGCAGUGCAUCACUCUCUGCAGUGGGAAGUCUCUAGGAAAGUACUUUUUGAUAGCCAUUUUCUAGCCAGGCGUUCUGUAAAGAGGCACUGCCUAAAAUUACCAUGAAUUUCCCCCCCAAAAAAUGAAACUCAAAAAGCAGAAGUUCAGGAUCAAGUCGAAGCUGGUUCUCCAGUGCUGACAGCGCUCAGCUACCCGUAAUCUCACCAGGUGACUCAGCCCCUGUGUGGCAAGAGUCAGGAGGAAGGCAGCAGUCACAAUGAGGAGGUGCCAUCACUUAUGCAGGCUUUCUCCACUGUGACUAAGGCUCAGUGCCUUGAUGUUUCAGCCUUCCCCUCAGCCCAUGAACACAGCAACCAUGCCUGCUUUCCUACAACACCUUAUUCCAUGUCAUUUUUGGAAGGUGUUGGCAGCUCUUCUGUCAAACUGACACCCAUUCAGAAUCCAAAAGGUGCCAGAUGGUUUCAUUAAAUGUUAAGGAUUUUGGAGACAGCAGUUCAUACUCACACUUUGUGCAGCAUUUUAAUAGUAAAUGAGAUUUCUUUCAUGAGUCUCUGCUCAAACAAUGCAGAAAGGACUAGAACUUGUGCUGAAGCAGUGCAACAACAUUUUUCUGUCUUGAAGUUGGAGGGAAAAAAAAAAUCAAUUGAUGAUUGAAAAGUUGGCAUACACUACACACGUACAAAAAAAAAAGGUCCGUGACUUUGCCCCAGCUACACAAAAACAAAUUUCUUCUAGAUUCUGCAAAACUUAAUAGCAGUUCCCAAUGGAGGAGAUUAGGGGAGAAUGUAAAAGAGGUGUGAUCAAAAGUCUGACCAAUUUAGAACUAAAAGUACAGUAGGGUCUCAAAGCAAUUGAUGUGUAGAGUUGCUAAAUUCAAACAUUAUGGACAUUCAGAGAGAAUAUACAUGCAUUUUUGGCUAACCAUCAAGAUGAAUUACACUGAUUGACUGCCCUCAGGUACUUCCAUAAGCCAAGUUUGCAGCUUUGUUCUUUGUUUUCUGCCACUAUUCCAACUGUGAUUGAAAAUGAAAUUUUGUAUUUGCAGUCUCAGAGAUAUUAAAGGCCAUUUUGUGACUUCAAGCUCUUUUAAAAUUAUAGCCGUCCAGCCUGUAAAAUCAGAGAUACAUGAAAACAGCUGUAGCAGUCAAGGUAUGUCCGCUAGAGCUGCAAAGAAGUAGUGGUCAAAUCGUAAUGAUGCACUUCAGAUGAAACAAAUUCCAGUGCUCUGAUGACUACUC